rnacentral:rRNA from 1 species
CAAAUGAAGAGUUUGAUCCUGGCUCAGGAUGAACGCUGGCGGNNNNNNNNNNCGGCGUGCCUAAUACAUGCAAGUCGAACGCUGGAGAUCUAGCUUGCUAGAUCGAAGGAGUGGCGAACGGGUGAGUAAUACAUAAGCAACCUACCCACGAAGACUGGGAUAAUCUCUGGAAACGGGGACUAAUACCGGAUAGGUAAUCGGAAGGCAUCUUCUGAUUAUUAAAGGUUAAAAACACUGGUGGAUGGGCUUAUGGCGCAUUAGUUAGUUGGUGAGGUAACGGCCCACCAAGACGAUGAUGCGUAGCC